GGCUCCGUGGUGUAGUUGGCAUCGCAUUGGCCUAGAAUGCUGAAGACGCUGGUUCGAAUCCAGCCGGUGCCC
rnacentral:tRNA from 1 species